UACGAAGGGGGCGAGCGUUGUUCGGAAUUACUGGGCGUAAAGGGCGCGCAGGCGGCUCUGAAAGUCAGAUGUGAAAGCCCCGGGCUUAACCUGGGAAUUGCAUUUGAUACUCUGGAGCUUGAGUACGGGAGAGGAGAGUGGAAUUCCCAGUGUAGAGGUGAAAUUCGUAGAUAUUGGGAAGAACACCGGUGGCGAAGGCGGCUCUCUGGGCCGAUAUUGACGCUGAGGAGCGAAAGCGUGGGGAGCGAACAGG
rnacentral:rRNA from 1 species